AUCAACUGACCUCUGACUUUCUUGUUAACAGGGAAACUGUAGGAAGAUACGCCACCAUCCCUAUCUAAUCUCUUCUUAAUGCAUUAACUUUACUCAAUGGUUCUCAAACUUUAGCAUGUAUGAGAUCACCUGGAGAACUUGUGAAUUUCUAACUCAGGAGGUCUGGGGAGAAGAUGAAGAAUCUGCAUUUACUGCAUGUUUCCAGAUAAUGGUGAUGCCUCUUAUCCAGGGACCACAGAGAACCACAGCCCUUAUAUGGCAAAGUCGAGAGUUUUUGUGCAAUGCCUCACCCUAAAUGAUAAAGCACAGAGACUACAUGAUUAGAAUUGGAAUUGGGACUACUACACUCUAGCAAAAGUACAUAAAAUGGAUUACAGGAAGAACAAGAACCAACGGCAAGUGAUUUAUGGUUACACAGCCCUCUCCUCUCUGCCUCUGAGGGGAGAAAGGGAAUGACAUCCAGGACAAGAACAAAGAAUAGAAGAGGAAAGGUGCUGCUACAAGUUGGAAAGAAGCAGACAGAGGUCCCUGCUGAUUCUCCAAAUAUGUGUCUAAUCUGUUUACUGAGUUCCAUAGCACUUGGAGCCAUCCAUGCAAAAAUCUGUAGAAGAGCAUUCCAGGAAGAGGGAAGAGCAAAUGCAAAGACGGGCGUGAGAGCUUGGUGCAUACAGCCAUGGGCCAAAUAAAGUUUCCUUGGAAUAGCCA
rnacentral:lncRNA from 10 species